AGAGUUUGAUCAUGGCUCAGGAUGAACGCUAGCGGCAGGCCUAAUACAUGCAAGUCGAACGGUAACAGGGAUAGCAAUAUCCGCUGACGAGUGGCGCACGGGUGCGUAACACGUAUGCAACCUACCUAUUACAGUGGGAUAGCCCGGAGAAAUUCGGAUUAAUACCGCAUGAUAAUAUUGAAAGGCAUCUUUUAAUAUUUAAAAUUUUCAAUGGUAAUAGAAGGGCAUGCGGCUGAUUAGCUAGUUGGUAGUGUAAUGGACUACCAAGGCAACGAUCAGUAGGGGUUCUGAGAGGAAGGUCCCCCACACUGGUACUGAGAUACGGACCAGACUCCUACGGGAGGCAGCAGUAGGGAAUAUUGGGCAAUGGGCGAGAGCCUGACCCAGCCAUGCCGCGUGCAGGAUGAAGGCCUUCUGGGUUGUAAACUGCUUUUGAUCGGGAACAAAGAGGCCAUGCGUGGCAAGUUGAGUGUACCGAUAGAAUAAGCACCGGCUAACUCCGUGCCAGCAGCCGCGGUA
rnacentral:rRNA from 1 species